ensembl:misc_RNA Metazoa_SRP Metazoan signal recognition particle RNA
GCUGGGCGUGGUGGCGGGCGCCUGUAAUCCCAGCUACUUGGGAGGCUGAGGCAGGAGAAUCGCUUGAACCCAGGAGGUGGAGGUUGCAGUGAGCAGAGAUGGUGCCACUGCACUCCAGCCUGGGCCACAGAGCAAGACUCCGUCUCAA